rnacentral:rRNA from 1 species
UUAAUUGGAAUCUGGUAUGAAUGGUUGGACAAAGGAAAAACUGUCUUUAUAGUAAGAAUUGAAAUUUACAUUUAAGUGAAAAGGCUUAAAUGAGUUAAGGGGACGAUAAGACCCUAUAAAGCUUUAUAGAUAAUUUAAAUUUAGUUAAUUUAAAUGAUAAAAAUUAAGUUUAAUUAUUUUAUUUUGUUGGGGUGAUGUGAGCAUAAUUUAGGUUAACUGCUUAAAAAAAAUUCUGCAUAGCAGAAUUAUAGGUAUAUGAUCCUUCAUAAAGAUUAAAAGACUAAGUUACUUUAGGGGUAACAGCGUUAUUUCUUUUGAGAGUUCAUAUCGAAAAAGAAGAUUGCGACCUCGAUGUUGAAUUAAAAUUUCUAUAUAAUGCAGCCGUUAUAAAAG